rnacentral:rRNA from 1 species
GUGGGGAAUUUUGGACAAUGGGGGCAACCCUGAUCCAGCAAUGCCGCGUGCAGGAAGAAGGCCUUCGGGUUGUAAACUGCUUUUGUACGGAACGAAAAGGCUCUGGUUAAUACCUGGGGCACAUGACGGUACCGUAAGAAUAAGCACCGGCUAACUACGUGCCAGCAGCCGCGGUAAUACGUAGGGUGCAAGCGGUAAUCGGAAUUACUGGGCGUAAAGCGUGCGCAGGCGGUGCUGUAUGACAGGCGUGAAAUCCCCGGGCUUAACCUGGGAAUGGCGCGUGUGACUGCAGUGCUGGAGUGUGGCAGAGGGGGAUGGAAUUCCGCGUGUAGCAGUGAAAUGCGUAGAUAUGCGGAGGAACACCGAUGGCGAAGGCAAUCCCCUGGGCCUGCACUGACGCUCAUGCACGAAAGCGUGGGGAGCAAACAGGAUUAGAAACCCGUGUAGUCC